CAUACAUCAACGUAGAAGAGGCUAAGCGAGGUAGUAGUGUGCAACUGCUUGACCUGAGCCCUAGGACCAUGCCCCAGGACUACCUGACAUGAUGACUCCUUGCUGUCCCCAGUCCACCUGGCUGUGCUGCUGCUCCAGUUUCAACUGUUCUGCCUUAUUAUUAUUCGACCAUGCUGGUCAUUUAUGAACAUUUGAACAUCUUGGCCAUGUUCUGUUAUAAUCUCUACCCGGCACAGCCAGAAGAGGACUGGCCACCCCACAUAGCCUGGUUCCUCUCUAGGUUUCUUCCUAGGUUUUGGCCAUUCUAGGGAGUUUUUCCUAACCACCGUGCUUCUACACCUGCAUUGCUUGCUGUUUGGGGUUUUAGGCUGGGUUUCUGUACAGCACUUUGAGAUAUCAGCUGAUGUACGAAGGGCUAUAUAAAUACAUUUGAUUUGUUUACAGACAUAUUAUUUCACUUAUCAUUUACUGUAUCACAAUUCCAGUGGGUCAGAAGUUUACAUACAAGUUUACAUGCAUAUUAGUUGACUGUGCCUUUAAACAGCUUGGAAAAUUCCAGAAAAUUAUGUCAUGGCUUUAGACGCUUCUGAUAGGCUAAUUGACAUAAUUUGAGUCAAUAGGAGAUGUACCUGUGGAUGUAUUUCAAGGCCUCCCUUCAAACUCAGUGCCUCUGCUUGACAUCAUGGGAAAAUCAGAAGAAAUCAGCCGAGACCCCAGAAAAAUAAUUGUAGACCUCCACAAGUCUGGUUCAUCCUUGGGAGCAAUUUCCAAACACCUGAAGGUACCACUUCAUCUGUACAAACAAUAGUACGCAAGUAUAAACACCAUGGGACGACGCAGCCAUCAUACCGCUCGGGAAGGAGACGCGUUCUGUCUCCUAGAGAUGUCUCCUAGAGAUGAACGUACUUUGGUGCGAAAAGUGCAAAUCAAUCCCAGAACAACAGCAAAGGACCUUGUGAAGAUGCUGGACGAAACAGAUACAAAAGUAUCUAUAUCCACAGUAAAACGAGUCCUAUAUCGACAUAACCUGAAAGGAAGAAGCCACUGUUCCAAAACCGCCAUAAAAAAGCCAGACUAUGGUUUGCAACUGCACAUGGGGACAAUUAUUGUACUUUUUGGAUAAAUGUCCUCUGGUCUGAUGAAACAAAAAUAGAACUGUUUGGCCAUAAUGACCAUCGUUAUGUUUGGAGGAAAAAGGGGGAGGCCGAAGAACACCAUCUCAACCUUGAAGCACGGGGCUGGCAGCAUCAUAUUGUGUGGGUGCUUUGCUGCAGGAGGGACUGGUGCACUUCACAAAAUAGAUAGCAUCAUGAGGAUGGAAAAUUAUGUGGAUAUAUUGAAGCAACAUCUCAAGAUAUCAGUCAGGAAGUUAAAGAUUCAUCGCAAAUGGGUCUUCCAAAUGGACAAUGACCCCAAGCAUACUUCCAAAGUUGUGGCAAAAUAGAUUAUGGACAACAAAGUCAAGGUAUUGGAGUGGCCAUCACAAAGCCCUGGCCUCAAUCCUAUAGAAAAUUUGCAGGCAGAACUGAAAAAGUGUGUGCGAGCAAGGAGGCCUACAAACCUAACUCAGUUACAACAGCUCUGUCAGGAGGAAUGGGCCAAAAUUCACCCAACGUAUUGUACGAAGCUUGUGGAAGGCUACCUGAAACGUUUGACCCUGUCACGCCCUGACCAUAGUAAGCUGUUUUUUUCUCUGUGUUGGUUGGGGCAUGAUGGUGACUUGGGUGGGUCAUCUAGGUAAAUUUGUAUUUCUAUGUUGGCCUGAUAUGGUUCCCAAUCAGAGACAGCUGUUUAUCGUUGUCUCUGAUUGGGGAUCAUAUUUAGGCAGCCAUUUCCCCUUUGUGUUUGUGGGAUCUUGUAUACAUUUAGUUGUCUGAGUGCACAGUCAGUACCUUCACAUUUCGUUUGUGCUUGUUUGUUUUGUUUUGCUUUGCCGAGUUUCGGUUUUAUUAAAAACAUGUGGAACUCUACUCACGCUGCGCCUUGGUCUAAUCAUUACGAUGAGUGUGACAGACCCAAGUUAAUCAUUUUAAACGCAAUGCUAUCAAAUACUAAUUGAGUGUAUGUAAACUUCUGACCCACUGGGAAUGUGAUGAAAGAAAUAAAAGCUGAAAUAAAUCAUACUCUACUAUUAUUCUGACAUUUCACAUUCUUAAAAUAAAGUGGUGAUCCUAACUGACCUAAGACAGGGAAUUUUUACUAGGAUUAAAUGUCAGGAAUUGUGAAAAACUGAGUUUAAAUGUAUUUGGUUAAGGUGUAUGUAAACUUCCGACUUCAACUGUAAUUGCUAAUUUCUGGAUUUGGAUAAUUAGUGGUUAUCGGCCCAAUUCAAUUGGCACAGUGUCAUCCAGGUUAGGGGAGGGUUUGGCCGGCCAGGAUGUCCCAUCACAUUCUAUUGACUCCUGUGGCAGGGUUGUGUUUCGGAGAAUGCAUGGCUCUUGACCUUCACCUCUCCCAAGUCUGUACAGGAGUUGCAGUGAUGGGACAAGACUGUAACUACCAAUUGGAUAUCAUGAAAUUGGGGAGAAAAAGAGGUCAAAAAAUAAAAAUACACUUCUUGCCUUGUCUCUCAGAUCGUUUAGAGCUUUGUGGGAGUUACCUGUGGCGCUGAGGUAUGUAUUGUUUUUUGUGUGCUUUACGGCAACGGUGUCUAGAUGGAAUUUGUAUUUGCAGUUCUGGCAACUGGACCUUUUUUGGAGCACCAUUAUUUUUGUCUUACUGAGAUUUACUGUCAGGGCCAGUUUUUCCCAGGUCUGACAGAAAUUGUGCAGAAGAUCUAGGUGCUGCUGUUGGCCCUCCUUGGUUGGGGACAGAAGCACCAUAUCAUCAGCAAACAGCAGACAUUUGACUUCAAACUUCUAGUAGGGGAGGCUGCAGACUCUUCUAGUGCUCUCGCCAAUUAUUUGAUAUACAGUGCAUUCGGAAAGUAUUCAUACCCCUUGACUUUUUUCAAAUUUUGGUAGGUUACAGCCUUAACCUGAAAUCGAUUAUUUUUUUUAAAAUCCCAUCAUCAAUCUACACACAACACCCGAUAAUGACAAAGCAAAAACAGGUUUUAGAAAUGUUUGCAAAUGUAUAAUUUAAAAAAACUGAAAUAUUAUAUUUACAUAAGUAUUCUGACCCUUUACUCAGUACUUUUGUGAAGUACCUUUGGCAGUGAUUACAGCCUUGAGUUUUCUUGGGUAUGAUGAUACAAGCUUGAACACCUUUAUUAACAUAGUUCCUCCCAUUCUUCUCUACAGAUCCUCUCAAGCUCUGUCAGGUUGGAUGGGUAGCGUCGCUGCACAGCUAUUUUCAGGUCUCUCCAGAGAUGUUAGAUUGGGAUCAAGUCCUGGCUCUGGCUGGCCCACUCAAGGACAUUGAGACUUGUCCCGAAGCCACUCCUGUGCUGUCUUGGCUGUUUUGCUUAGGGUUGUUGUCUUGUUGGAAGGUGAACCUUCGCCCCCAGUCUGAGGUCCUGAGCGCUCUGGAGCAGGUUUUCAUCAAGGAUCUCAUUACUUGCUCCGUUCAUCUUUCCCUCAAUCCUGACUAGUCUCCCAGUCCCAUAGGGAUGGUGCCAAGUUAUCUCCACACGUGACGCUUGGCAUUCAGGCCAAAGAAUCAAUCUUGUUUUUCAUGGUCUGGGAGUCCUUUAUGUGCUUUUUGGCAAACUCCAAGCGGGCUGUUAUGUGCCUUUUACUGAAGAGUGGCUUCCGUCUAGCCACUCUACCACAAAGGCCUGAUUGGUGGAGUGCUGCAGAGAUGCUUGUCCUUCUGGAAGGUUCUCCCUUCUCCCAGGAACUCUGGAGCUCUGUCAGAGUGACCAUCGGGUUCUUGGUCACCUCCCUGACCAAGGUCCUUCUCCAUCGAUUGCUCAGUUUGGCUUAAGCGUCCAGCUCUAGGAAGAGUCUUGGUGGAUCCAAACUGUUUCAAUUUAAGAAGGAUGGAGGCCACUGUGUUCUUGGGGACCUUCAAUGCUGCAGAAAUGUUUUCGUACCCUUCCUCAAAUCUGUGCCUCGACACAAUCUUGUCUCAAAGCUCUACAGACAAUUCCUUCAACCUCAUGUCUUGAUUUUUGCUCUGACAUGCAUUGUCAACUGUGGGACCUGAUAUAGACAGAUGUGUGUUUUUCCAAAUCAUGUCCAAUCAAUUGAAUUUAUCAUAGGUGGACUCCAAUUAAGUUGUAGAAAUGUCUCAAGGUUGAUCAAUGGAAACAGGAUGCACCUGAGCUCAAUUUCGAGUCUCAUAGCAAAGGGCCUGAAUACUUAUGUAAAUAAGGUAUUUUAUUUUUAUGUUUAAUAUAUUUGCAAAAAUGUAAAAAAAAACUGUUUUUGCUUUGUUAUUAUGGGCUACUGUGUGUAGAUUGAUGAGGAAUUGUUUUUAUUUAAUCCAUUUUAGAAUAAGGCUGUAACGUAACAAAAUGUGGAAAAAGUCAAGCGGUCUGAAUACCUUCCGAAUGCACUGUAUAUGUUGAAGAGGGUAGGGCUCAAACUGCAUCCCUCUCUCACCCCACGGCCCUGUGGAAAGAAAUUUGUUUUUUUGCCAAUUUUAACAGCACACUUGUUGUUUGUGUACAUGGAUUGUAUAAUGUAUGUUUUUCCCCCAACACCGCUUUCCAUCAAUUUGUAUAGCAGACCCUCAUGACAAAUUGAAUAAAAAGCUUUUUUGAAAUAAACAAAGCAUGAGAAGA